rnacentral:rRNA from 1 species
CCUACGGGAGGCAUCAGUAGGGAAUAUUGCUCAAUGGGGGAAACCCUGAAGCAGCAACGCCGCGUGGAGGAUGAAGGUUUUCGGAUUGUAAACUCCUUUUGUUAGAGAAGAUAAUGACGGUAUCUAACGAAUAAGCACCGGCUAACUCCGUGCCAGCAGCCGCGGUAAUACGGAGGGUGCAAGCGUUACUCGGAAUCACUGGGCGUAAAGGGCGCGUAGGCGGGAUAGCAAGUCAGAUGUGAAAUCCUAUGGCUUAACCAUAGAACUGCAUUUGAAACUGUUAUUCUAGAGUAUGGGAGAGGUAGGUGGAAUUCUUGGUGUAGGGGUAAAAUCCGUAGAGAUCAAGAGGAAUACUCAUUGCGAAGGCGACCUGCUAGAACAUAACUGACGCUGAUGCGCGAAAGCGUGGGGAGCAAACAGGAUUAGAUACCCGAGUAGUC